AAUGACCAGAGCUCUCAUGGACUCGCUUGGGCCUGAGUGGCGCCUGAAGCUGCCCUCAAUCCCCUUGGUGCCUGUUUCAGCUCAGAAGAGGUGGAAUUCCUUGCCUUCGGAGAACCACAAAGAGAUGGCUAAAAGCAAAUCCAAAGAAACCACAGCUACAAAGAACAGAGAGCACUCUGCUAUUUGGUCCUGAAGCAGUACACAGAAGCAGUGAAGGACUGCACAGAAGCCCUCAAGCUGGAUGGAAAGAACGUGAAGGCAUUCUACAGACGGGCUCAAGCCCACAAAGCACUCAAGGACUAUAAAUCCAGCUUUGCAGACAUCAGCAACCUCCUACAGAUUGAGCCUAGGAAUGGUCCUGCACAGAAGUUGCGGCAGGAAGUGAAGCAGAACCUACACUAAAAACCCAACAGGGCAACUGGAACCCCUGCCUGACCUUACCCAGAGAAGCCAUGGGCCACCUGCUCUGUGCCCGCUCCUGAAACCCAGCAUGCCCCAAGUGAGCUCUGAAGCCCCCUCCUCAAUCCCUUGAUGGCCUCCCACCCUGUAAGAGGCUUUGCUUGUUCAAAUUAAACUCAGUGUAGUCAAACACAGACAUGGUUGUUGCACCAGAAAGGUCCCCACUAGAGCUAAGCGUGAAGCUGAAGCUCUGUCCCUAUUCCCCCAGCCCAGCUAGCUGAUCACACCAACAGAUCCUCAUCAGCAAAGCAUUUGGCUUUGUCCUGCCCAAGUGGGCUGCAGACUGAGUGCUGCCCUUGUAGCUUCCCCAGACCCCAACUCACUGCAGUUCAUCUGAACAACCUGAGCUCCUGGGCCGGGGUGGAAGGAGGGGGAUAAACCUAAGGCCCUGAUCCAAAGCAGCCUGUUGAGCUGGUUCUCCAGGGCUGCAGUCUCUCCAGGUGUACAGCUGCUGUCCCUGCCCUGUCCUGUCCUUGCACAGUCUCCUAUGUCUGAGCCCCAGUGCCUUCUGUUCGGGCCCUCCUUUGGUGGGAAGGCAGAGCCCUGACCCUUGAAUGGUUGUCCUUGACUCUGUGCUGCUGCCUUCUGCAGAGAGGCACCUAAGCUGUUUAAAGAGCCCAGUGAUUGUGGCUGCUCCUCCUAGAGGUGGGAGGGGGCAAGAGGCCUCCUUGGUCAGUGUCCAUGCUUUCUGGGCAGGGACUUGGUUUUUUGUUCCAACAGUGGCCUUCUCCGGGCUUCAUAGUUCUUUGUAAUAUGUUGAAGUUAAUUUGAAUUGACUGAUUUUGUUGAACUGUGUGUUUAAGCUGUUGCAUUAAAAAGCUUUCUUCUACAUCAAUAUCUGCUGUGCUUUCAUUUAUGCCUUUUCAGCUUUGCACCUGGAACUCUGUAGUAAUAAUAAAAGUUAUUGC
rnacentral:lncRNA from 1 species